rnacentral:rRNA from 1 species
UACGAAGGGGGCUAGCGUUGCUCGGAAUCACUGGGCGUAAAGCGCGUGUAGGCGGGUCUUUUAAGUCAGGGGUGAAAUGCCAAGGCUCAACCUUGGAACUGCCUUUGAUACUGGAGAUCUUGAGUCCGGGAGAGGUGAGUGGAAUUGCGAGUGUAGAGGUGAAAUUCGUAGAUAUUCGCAAGAACACCAGUGGCGAAGGCGGCUCACUGGACCACAACUGACGCUGAGGCGCGAAAGCUAGGGGAGCAAACAGG